rnacentral:tRNA from 1 species
GCGGACAUAGUAUAAUGGUCAUCACAAAACCUUGCCAAGGUUUAAAUCCGGGUUCGAUUCCCGGUGUCCGCUCCA